GGGGGUGAUCGGUUUCGACGGACAGAUGGUUUGACCGGAGAAGCGUGUCGAGAAUCAAGGUGAUCUCGUUAAGAAUCCUUGACAAAAAAUAACUGCCAAAAAUACGCAGUCUGCUGAGUCCUACGCCCUCGCGGCGUAGUACAUAGAUCAGCCGUCAGCCCAAUG
rnacentral:tmRNA from 1 species